UACGAACUGUGCAAACGUUAUUCGGAAUCACUGGGCUUAAAGGGUGCGUAGGCGGCCAGCUAAGCAGGGUGUGAAAGCCCCCGGCUCAACCGGGGAAUUGCGCCCUGAACUAGCGGGCUGGAGUGAGAUAGGGGUGUGCGGAACUUCCAGUGGAGCGGUGAAAUGUGUUGAUAUUGGAAGGAACGCCGGUGGCGAAAGCGGCACACUGGGUCUCAACUGACGCUGAGGCACGAAAGCCAGGGGAGCAAACGGG
rnacentral:rRNA from 2 species